rnacentral:lncRNA from 1 species
GACUUGAAAUGAAGAAGCGUCUUGUGUCAUUAUAUAAUUGUGGAUUUUCUCAUUCUGCUUCAGGGAGCUCGAGGUUUUCCUGGUACACCAGGUCAUCAAGGUCUAAAGGGCCCCAGAGGAGAGAAAGGACUUGAUGGCCCUAAAGGUGAAUUUGGAGCCCAUGGAUCCAAGGGUGAAUCAGGCCCAUCAGGGCAGAUGGGUGCAGCAGGUCCUAACCACUCACAUAGUACAAGCAAUAAGUGUAAAUAAAAGGAAAAAAGGUGGACAUCCAAAAAAAAA